GGCCUUGUGUCCUAAUGGAUAAGGCGUCGGACUUCGGAUCCGAAGAUUGCAGGUUCGAGUCCAGCCAGGGUCG
rfam:Necator americanus N_americanus-1.0_Cont101405.1, whole genome shotgun sequence.